rnacentral:rRNA from 1 species
UACGUAGGGGGCAAGCGUUGUCCGGAAUCAUUGGGCGUAAAGCGCGUGUAGGCGGUCCGGUAAGUCCGCUGUGAAAGUCGGGGGCUCAACCCUCGAAAGCCGGUGGAUACUGUCGGGCUAGAGUGCGGAAGAGGCGAGUGGAAUUCCUGGUGUAGCGGUGAAAUGCGCAGAUAUCAGGAGGAACACCAAUUGCGAAGGCAGCUCGCUGGGACGUUACUGACGCUGAGACGCGAAAGCGUGGGGAGCAAACAGG